rnacentral:rRNA from 1 species
GACGAACGCUGGCGGCGUGCCUAAUACAUGCAAGUCGAACGAGAGCGACCGGUGCUUGCACUGGUCAAUCUAGUGGCGAACGGGUGAGUAACACGUGGGUAACCUGCCCAUCAGAGGGAGAUAACAUUCGGAAACGGAUGCUAAAACCGCAUAGGUCUUCGAACCGCAUGGUUUGAAGAGGAAAAGAGGCGCAAGCUUCUGCUGAUGGAUGGACCCGCGGUGCAUUAGCUAGUUGGUGAGGUAACGGCUCACCAAGGCCGUGAUGCAUAGCCGACCUGAGAGGGUGAUCGGCCACAUUGGGACUGAGACACGGCCCAAACUCCUACGGGAGGCAGCAGUAGGGAAUCUUCCGCAAUGGACGCAAGUCUGACGGAGCAACGCCGCGUGAGUGAAGAAGGUUUUCGGAUCGUAAAACUCUGUUGUUAGAGAAGAACAAGUGCUAGAGUAACUGUUAGCGCCUUGACGGUAUCUAACCAGAAAGCCACGCA